AAAUGCCAGCAAGCUCAUGGCCACACAGAACAGUCUCUGCUUUUCUUUGUUUCUCUUUCAGUCAUUCUGUUAACUGGACAUGACAUGGUAUAGACAAGAGGAAUAUCAAGACAUGGUACAGACACAAGGAAGAUCUGGACAUGGUACAGACACAAGGAAGAUCUGGACAUGGUACAGACACAAGGAAGAUCUGGACAUGGUACAGACACAAGGAAGAUCUGGACAUGGUAUAGACACAAGGAAGAUCUGGAUAUGGUAUAGACACAAGGAAGAUCUGGAUAUGGUAUAGACAAAAGAAAGAUUUGGACAU